rnacentral:rRNA from 1 species
AGUGAACGCUGGCGGUAGGCCUAACACAUGCAAGUCGAACGGCAGCACAGUAAGAGCUUGCUCUUACGGGUGGCGAGUGGCGGACGGGUGAGGAAUACAUCGGAAUCUACUUUUUCGUGGGGGAUAACGUAGGGAAACUUACGCUAAUACCGCAUACGACCUACGGGUGAAAGCAGGGGAUCUUCGGACCUUGCGCGAUUGAAUGAGCCGAUGUCGGAUUAGCUAGUUGGCGGGGUAAAGGCCCACCAAGGCGACGAUCCGUAGCUGGUCUGAGAGGAUGAUCAGCCACACUGGAACUGAGACACGGUCCAGACUCCUACGGAAGGCAGCAGUGGGGAAUAUUGGACAAAGGGCGCAAGCCUGAUCCAGCCAUACCGCGUGGGUGAAGAAGGCCUUCGGGUUGUAAAGCCCUUUUGUUGGGAAAGAAAAGCAGCAGGUUAAUACCCCGCUGUUCUGACGGUACCCAAAGAAUAAGCACCGGCUAACUUCGUG